rnacentral:rRNA from 1 species
UACGAGGGGGGCGAGCGUUGUUCGGAAUUAUUGGGCGUAAAGGGCGCGUAGGCGGUCGGAUAAGUCUUGUGUGAAAUCUUCGGGCUCAACUCGAAGUCUGCACAGGAAACUAUCUGGCUUGAGUGUGGGAGAGGUGAGUGGAAUUCCUGGUGUAGCGGUGAAAUGCGUAGAUAUCAGGAGGAACACCUGUGGCGAAAGCGGCUCACUGGACCACAACUGACGCUGAGGCGCGAAGGCGUGGGGAGCGAACGGG